rnacentral:rRNA from 1 species
AGAGUUUGAUCCUGGCUCAGAACGAACGCUGGCGGCAGGCCUAACACAUGCAAGUCGAACGCUCUCUUCGGAGGGAGUGGCGGACGGGUGAGUAACGCGUGGGAAUUUGCCCUGGGGUUGGGAAUAACCGCGGGAAACUGCGGCUAAUACCCGAUACGCCCUGCAUCGGAGACGGUGUGGGGGAAAGAUUGAUCGCCCUGGGAUGAGCCCGCGUCCGAUUAGGUAGUUGGUGGGGUAAGGGCCCACCAAGCCUACGAUCGGUAGCUGGUCUGAGAGGAUGAUCAGCCACACUGGGACUGAGACACGGCCCAGACUCCUACGGGAGGCAGCAGUGGGGAAUCUUGGACAAUGGGGGCAACCCUGAUCCAGCCAUGCCGCGUGAGUGAAGAAGGCCUUAGGGUUGUAAAGCUCUUUCGGUGGUGACGAUGAUGACGGUAACCACAGAAGAAGCCCCGGCUAACUCCGUGCCAGCAGCCGCGGUAAUACGGAGGGGGCUAGCGUUGUUCGGAAUUACUGGGCGUAAAGGGCGCGUAGGCGGAUUGUCCAGUCAGAGGUGAAAGCCCCGGGCUCAACCCGGGAGGUGCCUUUGAAACUGACGGUCUUGAGUGCGGGAGAGGAUGGCGGAAUUCCCAGUGUAGAGGUGAAAUUCGUAGAUAUUGGGAAGAACACCGGUGGCGAAAGCGGCCAUCUGGCCCGCAACUGACGCUGAUGCGCGAAAGCGUGGGGAGCAAACAGGAUUAGAU